rnacentral:rRNA from 1 species
GACGAACGCUGGCGGCGUGCUUAACACAUGCAAGUCGAACGGAAAGGCCCUGCUUUUGUGGGGUGCUCGAGUGGCGAACGGGUGGGUAACACGUGAGUAACCUGCCCUUGACUUUGGGAUAACUUCAGGAAACUGGGGCUAAUACCGGAUAGGAGCUCCUGCUGCAUGGUGGGGGUUGGAAAGUUUCGGCGGUUGGGGAUGGACUCGCGGCUUAUCAGCUUGUUGGUGGGGUAGUGGCUUACCAAGGCUUUGACGGGUAGCCGGCCUGAGAGGGUGACAGGCCACAUUGGGACUGAGAUACGGCACAGACUCCUACGGGAGGCAGCAGUGGGGAAUAUUGCACAAUGGGCGGAAGCCUGAUGCAGCAACGCCGCGUGCGGGAUGACGGCCUUCGGGUUGUAAAACGCUUUCGCCUGUGACGAAGCGUGAGUGACGGUAAUGGGUAAAGAAGCACCGGCUAACUACGUG